rnacentral:rRNA from 1 species
GAUGAACGCUGACAGAAUGCUUAACACAUGCAAGUCAACUUGAAUUUGGGUUUUUUAACUUAGAUUUGGGUGGCGGACGGGUGAGUAACGCGUAAAGAACUUGCCUCACAGCUAGGGACAACAUUUGGAAACGAAUGCUAAUACCUGAUAUUAUGAUUAUAAGGCAUCUUAGAAUUAUGAAAGCUAUAUGCGCUGUGAGAGAGCUUUGCGUCCCAUUAGCUAGUUGGAGAGGUAACGGCUAACCAAGGCGAUGAUGGGUAGCCGGCCUGAGAGGGUGAACGGCCACAAGGGGACUGAGACGCGGCCCUUACUCCUACGGGAGGAAGCAGUGGGAAAUAUUGAACAAUGGACGAAGAGUCUGAUCCAGCAAUUCUGUGUGCACGAUGACGUUUUUCGGAAUGUAAAGUGCUUUCAGUUGGGAAGAAAAAAAUGACGGUACCAACAGAAGAAGUGACGGCUAAAUACGUG